AGGGUGCGAGCGUUAAUCGGAAUUACUGGGCGUAAAGCGCAUGCAGGUGGUUUGUUAAAGUCAGAUGUGAAAGCCCGGGGCUCAACCUCGGAAUUGCAUUUGAAACUGGCAAACUAGAGUACUGUAGAGGGGGUAGAAUUUCAGGUGUAGCGGUGAAAUGCGUAGAGAUCUGAAGGAAUACCGGUGGCGAAGGCGGCCCCCUGGACAGAUACUGACACUCAGAUCGCGAAAGCGUGGGGAGCAAACCAGGAUUAGAUACCCCUGGUAG
rnacentral:rRNA from 1 species